rnacentral:tRNA from 1 species
GCCGCGGUAGCUCAGUCUGGUGGAGCGCUCGGCUGUUAACCGAGGGGUCACCGGUUCGAAUCCGGUCCGCGGCG